CGAGGACGACGCUGGCGGCGUGCCUAAUACAUGCAAGUCGAACGGUCUUUUCUAUGGAAGCUUGCUUCCACUGAGAAGAUAGUGGCGAACGGGUGAGUAACACGUGGGUAACCUGCCCAUAAGAGGGGGAUAACAUCCGGAAACGGGUGCUAAUACCGCAUAGUUUUCUUGAUCGCAUGAUCGGGAAAGGAAAGACGGCCUUUGUGCUGUCGCUUAUGGAUGGACCCGCGGCGUAUUAGUUAGUUGGUGAGGUAACGGCUCACCAAGACGAUGAUACGUAGCCGACCUGAGAGGGUGAUCGGCCACAUUGGGACUGAGACACGGCCCAAACUCCUACGGGAGGCAGCAGUAGGGAAUCUUCCGCAAUGGACGAAAGUCUGACGGAGCAACGCCGCGUGAGUGAAAGAAGGUUUUCGGAUCGUAAAACUCUGUUGUCAGAGAAGAACAAGUUGGAGAGUAACUGCUCCAGCCUUGACGGUAUCUGACCAGAAAGCCACGGCUAACUACGUGCCAGCCGCCGC
rnacentral:rRNA from 1 species